rnacentral:lncRNA from 1 species
UUUUCUUGGAUUUCAUUGGCUGACUGACUUUCACUGUUGUUUGCUCUGAGGCCAAACUUGCUAAAACUUUAAAAACAGUGGGAGGUUGUUACCUUCUGCCUGUCACUUCAUUUAAGCUUAGUACAGCAAAGAAGAGGGAGGAGAGAACAAGUAUGUUAGUGUUUGGUUUUUUUUUUUUCAAUUUGGUAAAGAAUAUUUUGCCACUAAUUGGGCUAUUGGUGUCUGUCCCCCAAACUUAUUUUUCCAUUUAUAAGGUAAAUAUGCAUUUUAGCUGAAAGUGGUAGAAGAGAAAAACUAGUAUUUCUGUAAUUUUCAGAGAUCUUCUCUAGUGAAAUGGACAUUUAGAAAGUUGGGAAGUAUCUUCUCAAAUGUAGGGUCUGAGCUGGAGAAAUAUCUCAGUCAGUUGAGUGCUUACCUUGCAAGCAUGAGGACCUGCGUUCAAGCUCCAGAACCUGUGCGUCAUAGCCAGACUAGUGAUGCAUGCUUGCCAUUCCUUCCAUGCUGGGAAAGUGGACACCGAAGAUCCCAGGGGCUCACUAGCCAGCCAGGGUAGCAAGCCAAAUUGGCAAGUUCCUGGCUAACACACAUGAGCACACAUAUAUACACACAUACACAUAAAAUACACAGGCUUAGUAUAAAGAUGGAUUCAGUUACCAGGGGCAGAACAAGAACCCAGUGCAGGGAGAGUUUGACAGGUAAUAAGCAGCACACAGCUUGUUUUCCCUUCAAGUCCAGGAUUCACCCUGCUUGUUUCUUGAUGGAAUCUAUCAAUGUUUGUCUGUCUUUAUUUUCUUUUGUUUAUCAUCUUCCUCUGUGGAAUAUAAUGGCCCUGUCUUCUGACUGAGCUCCAUACAGCACAGUGCUUUGGUACACAACAGAUACUUGUGUUUGUUGCAGGAAGAACUGAGUGGAUGCAUGGAAGGAUGUACCCCACUCUACCAGGCCUCCCCACUCCAUGUGGUCUCAAGUCUCUCAAGGGUUAGGUGCAUCUUCCUCUGAGGCCACACCAGCUGGUCCUCUGCUGCAUAUGUCCUGGGGGCCUCAUCAGCUGGUGUAUGCUGACUAGUUGGUGGCUCAGUGUCAAAGAUCUAGGGGGUCCAGAUUAGUUGAGACUGCUCGUCUUCCUAUGGGGUUCUCCUCCUCAACUUCUUCCAGCCUUUUCCUAAUUCAACCACAGAGGUCCCCGACUUCAGUCCAUUGGUUGGGUGUAAGUAUCUACAUCUGUCUCGGUCAGCUCCUUGUUGGGCCUCUCAGAGGGCAGCCAUACUAGGGUCCUAUCUGUAAGCACUCCAUAGCAUCAGUAAUAGUGUCAGGCCUUAGAGCCUCCCCUUGAGACAGAUCCCAAGUUGGGUCGGUCACCGGACCUCCUUUCCCUCAGUUUCUUCUCUGUUUCUGUCCCUGCAGUUCUUUUAAACAGGAACAAUUCUAGGUCAGAGUUUUUGACUUGAGGAUGGCAGCCCUAUUGUUCCACUUGAUGCCCUGUCUUUCUACUGGAGGUAGACUCUCCAAGUUCCCUUUCCCCACUAUUGGGCAUUUCAUCUAAGGUCCCUCCCUUUGGGUCCUGAGAGUCUCUCACCUCCUAGGUCUCUGGUACAUUCUAGAGGCCUCCCUACACACACACACCUCCCGAGGUUACCUGUGCCUGUUUCCACUAAUUCUGCUGACCUUCGAGGCUUCACUCCUAUCUCCCAUGCCCCAAUUCCUGAUCAUGUUUCCCUUUUCCCCUCCACCUUCCCUCUCUCACCCAGAUCCCUCCCUCCCUCUGCCCCUCGUGAUUGCUUUCUUCUCCCUCCAAGUGGGAUUUAAGCAUCCUUACUUGGGUCCUUCAGCUUGUUAACCUUCCUCAGUUCUAUGGAUUGUAUCCUGGGUAUUCUGUACUUUUUUGCCUACUAUCCACUUAGUGAGUACAUACCAUUCAUGUUCUUUUGGGUCUGAGUUACCUCACUCAGGAUGAUAUUUUCUAGUUCUAUCCAUUUGCCUGCAAAACUCAUGAUUUCCUCGUUCUUAAUAGCUGAAUAGUAUUUCAUUAUGUAAAUGAACCACACUUUCUGUAUCCAUUCUUCAGUUUUGGGGCAUCUGGGUUGUUUCCAGCUUCUGGCUAUCACAAAUAAGGCCACAAUGAAUAACCAGUCUUACAGAACCUGUGUAUUCCCUCUUUCAACUUAGAGGUUAUAUUUUAAGGAAGCUUUACCAGUUAUGCUUCUAAAGGAAAUAAUAGCUUAAUGAGGCCCCAGUAUUUAUUUAACCUUUUUCUUAAGUAACAUUGAAAUAAUUCAGAGAAUUCUGUACCACUUCAAACUGACAGCUAGCUGGCCAAGGAACAUGAGGCUGAAAUACACAUUCUGGCAACCAAAUAGUUUCUUCCAUUGUAGAUGCCAACAAAGCAUUAGUCAUCUGGGGAUCAUGAUGGCUACCCUAGACAAUAACAGUAUAGCUAAAGAGUCUCAUGGAAGGUAAAUGUUAUUAAACCGCUUAGUCUCCCUGUCUUAGAGAACCAUAUUUACAUGAUAAUUCUUCCUCCUGUCUCCUGCUGUCAUGUAGAAUAUAGGAUGGGGGGUGUCGGUGGUGGC